rnacentral:lncRNA from 1 species
UUUGUCUUGAUUUUAGUCAUUAGUUCUGCACAUACAUGGGAUUUGAGUGAAGUAACAGAGGACGGACUGUAUUGUGGCCACUGAGCUUGCGAAGCCCCUCACUGCUUACUGCAUGCAAUGACAGAAACGAGUUUGGAGUAGAAUCUCAGCCAAAAGAGGCUGAGGAAAGUGUGCUCCAUGUUGUGACAAAGCUAAUGUCAAAAAAGGACAGUGGUCUCCUGAGGAAGAUAAAGCUAAGUCUUGGGACUCAUGGAACUGGUGGCAAUUGGAUUCAUCUGCCACAAAAAGCUGGCUUUUAGAUUCUUCAACAAGAAUCAAGUUGACCACAUUAAGGGUGAUCAGAACAGUGGUUUUCUAAUAAAUAAGCCAAGCUGCCGAAAUUGCAGACAGUCACCCCUCAAUUUGGAACUUUGUUUCUUCCAUGACUUGGCAUCUGAGUAAUCGACUGCAAUACUUUGAAGGUUAAGCAAUAUCAGUAUACCAAAGAUACAAAACAAAUUGCUUCUAAAAAGUCAUGGUUCUCUUACGAAUCUGGUCUGGGAAUGGCUUCCUGUGAUUUUGAUCAUUGAUUUAUUUGUAUUAUCCUCCAACACUGUGGCACUCAAAGGUCAGACGAUAAAGUAUUUACAGUCUUGGACAUCAUUUUACACUUUUCAAUUUCAAUAUAUGCAUCACUAUUUAUGCCUGGUAAAUGCUAAAUGCAUAUAUCCACGUAGUUUAGUGUUGUUUAAUGAUGUUCAUGAUGUAAAUAGAUACUUCUUCUUGAUUUGAUGUGGAGGUGUGCAUUAGCUAAUAUUAUGUUUUCAUAGCAUUUCUUAAAUUCUCCAUCUGCAAGAUUUUUUAACUUUGGAUGAUGACUGCAGUUGAACAUCUUUCUUUUUCUUCUUUG